GUUUCUAGUUUGAUGAAAUUUCAUUAAAUGGAAUUUUAAAAAUGUUCUUCUUUUAAGAUAGUUUUAGAUUUAUAGAAGAGUUGUAAAGAUGGUACAGACAAGAUGUAUUUCUUUUGUAUAGCUUUUCCUAGUAAUUAACAUUUUAUAUAACCAUGGUGUAUUUAUCAAGACUAAGAAAUUAAUACUGGUACAACACUAUUAACUAAACUAUAGACUUUAUUCAGAUCUCAUCAGGUUUUCACUGCUGUCUUUUUUUUUUUGGUGUCAGGAUCCAAUCCAGGAUGGCAUGUUGCAAUUUAGUCAACAUGUCUCCUUAGUGUAUUUCAAUCUGUGUCAAUUUCUUGGUCUUUCCUUGUUUUUUUAAUGCCUUUGAUUAUUGAAGAUUAAUAGUUAAAUUUUAGUACAAUGUUCCUCAAUCUGGAUUUGUCUGAUGUUUUCUCAUGAUUAUCCUGGAAUUAUAGAGUUUCAGAAAGAAUAACGCAGAGGUGAAGAGCCCUUCUCUUAACAUCAUAUCAGAAGGUACAUGGCGGGUGAUUUUAUUGCAGUUAUCCUGUCCCUACACCACCAUUAUAGAUUGGGUGUGGUGAGAGAGACGAUAGUUUGUGUUUUUAGAUUUUAAUUUGUGAGAUCAUGAGGAUAUUCCUCCAGAUUUGAUGGAAAAGAUAGCAUAUCACUGGAUGCUGGAUCUUGAGCUGGACGCAAUGACUGGAUGUCACUUUAGAAUGUUUCUCUUGAGGAGGGAGUGAGAAUGUUCUAUAUAUGAAUGGAAGUGUGAAACAGCUCUGGUUACUAGAAGGGCAGACCAUGGCAGAAAUGGACUAGGUUUUCACCAAAUAUAUUUCCUCUUCUUGGACACACAGUGAAAUAAUGUUUCUUAGCUUUCUUGUAUCUGUGUGGGGCCAUAAGAAUAGUUCUUUUCAAUAGAAUGUGACUUGGAAUGAUUUGUCACUUCUGGUUGCAGAUUGUUAAGAGGGAGUGCCUUCUAUACACUCUCCCCCUCAUCUCUCAACUGCCAAGUGGAUGCUGGGGGCUUCCUUGAAACUAUGAGUUGGAAGUGGUAGAGCCAGAGACUGCAAAGAGGCCUGUACUUUGAGGACAACUUGGAGAACAGUCCAAGCCUAUGCUAUGAGAAAGAAUUUAAGAACCAUAAGAAAUCAGAUCUAUUUCAAAGGUCAACUUAGAAGGAAAAUGUUUCAAUUGAGAGGAAGAUGUUAGCUGAGAAUGAAAGGCUGUUUUAGAUGGCAAGUUCAAAGAAAGGAGACUACUAUGAAAAGGUGAGCUUCAUCCAAUCAGCUAAAGAUGUUAAAAGCAAAAACUGAAGUUUCCUGAAGAAGAAGAAAUUCUGCUUCAAGACUGUAUCAUAGAAAUCCUUCCUGAAUUUUCAGCCUGCUGGCCUGCUCUAUGGAUUUUGAACUUGCCAUCCCCCAAAAUCAUUGAGAGGGAAGGAAGUUGAAUUACAGAUGGUUAACUCCCACCUGUAUGUCCUGUGCUGGUGAAGUGAUACCAGGUGUACAUCAAGUGUUAUGGGAAUGAGGUGGAAACAAGGUAAGAAUCACCAGACUGAGGACGUUAUGCAUGGAGGAUGUUGCAGUUCUCAUGAAUGUUGCUCCCAGAUCUCUUCUCCUUUGGCUCCUAGGGUCUUUGAAGAGAGGUGAGGGGAGCAAAUCUCUACUAAAGUAGACCCAGAGAUCAGAAGAAACCAGGUCAAAGCUGCUUCCCACCAAGCUGUGUGGUCCCGGGUUCCCCCUCGCUCUGUCUCCUGCUGCCACGUAAGACGUGCC